CACAGUUUACCAAGUUACCUCAA
rnacentral:snRNA from 1 species